rnacentral:misc_RNA from 1 species
AACGGUCUAUACCUGCGGUACCUGCAAGGAUCAUUACCGAGUUAUCAACUCCCAAACCCCUGUGAACAUACCCGAACGUUGCCUCGGCGGGACCGCCCCGGCGCCCCUAGCGGCCCGGAACCAGGCGCCCGCCGGAGGACCCAAACUCUUGCUUUAAACAGUGGCAUACUCUCUGAGUCUCACAAACAAAAAAUAAAUCAAAACUUUUAACAACGGAUCUCUAGAUCGGAAGAGCACACG